AGGCUUAGUCACUCAACCUCCUAUAGAAGUUAGGGAUGCUAAAUCGUUUCAAUGAAAAAGCUCUUAAUCCAACAUUUAAGGAUAAAAACAAAUGUGAAACUUUGUGACAUCAUAUUUCAUGACAGUACAACAAGUGGCAUGCAGUAUUAUUAUGGAAAAGGGCAACGUGAAUUUAAAUAUACUCUUCAUUUUUUUUUAAUCAUAAGGAAGUGCUGGAAUAUUAUAAAUGUUAGGAGCUCCAGAUCUGGAAAACGCCAGGAAGACUGGACUCGAGAGCCUUUCACAUCAACAGACUGUGAACAGCUCAAAUUUCUCAGAAAAUUUGUAUCAUGGAUUCAAUUCUGGCAAUCUAUCAAACUUCCUCAUAUUUGGAUGCUGCUGCAUGCUACUUACUAGAGAAAAAAGGGUUUGAAUUUGUUUUGUACGGGAAAUUCCUGAGUGAUUGCAUUGAGCAGAGAUUUUUCCAAUAUAGAAGCAUGAGUGCCUGCCAUUUCUAUAUUACAAUCCUACAAUUACUUCAAUCAGAAAAGACCAUCAGACUUAGGGACAUUGUGAAGUACACUUCGUUGUCGAUUCGAGACCUUAAAAAACAUCGGAAGAGGCUAUAAAUAUAGCUUCGUCAAAAUGUAUAGAAGAUAUUGCUGUUUUUCUUGAAUAUUUGGAUGACAUGGUAAUUCCUAUAACAAUCAAAGCCGAAUAAAAAAAUAUAUACUUUAUUGUUUAUUGCCAGAUUCUCCUUCAGAUUCUUUAGAUCUAAUUGUAAUAGUUAUUAAUAUUUUUUAUCAUACUAUUAUGAUCCACCAAAUCCUUUACAAUAUCUUAAUCAAUUCUGAGAAAAUUCAAGAAUGAUUGUCAAAUAGGAUCUGCUUUUAUAAAUUCGAUGUAUAUUUUAAAUUUAAUAUGUAUUAAUAAAAAUUUGAUGAUAGAAAAAUAA
rnacentral:lncRNA from 1 species